CUGGGAGGCGCUGGGCACCACCAGGUAGUGGCCGGGGCUCAGGCGACAGCGGCGGCUCACGUCGCGACGGGCGCAGAAGACGGAGCGGUCGGCGCGCAGCAGUUUCGGGCUGGUCGAGGGAUGGGCGCUGGGCCACAUCUGAGACCCACCUCCUCUGGGAUCUGUAAGAAGGAAGAGUGUGGCCGCUGGGCUCAGCAGCAGCAGGGGGUGCCACUGCUCAGAGCCUCCACCUCCCCUCCAGACCCGUCCCAUUUCUUUGGUCCUGGGCCUUUAUUGAACCUCUGACCCAGGUUCCCUCUGACUCCUUCCCAACCUUCCCCUCCCUUAUCUGUGCCCUUUAGUCCCAUCUCGGCCCUCCUGGUCCCCUGUCUGUCCCCACCCUGUCCCUUCAAUCUUUCCCAGACACCCUCCCUCAGCUCCCUCUCUCCUCUGACCCAACCCCAGUUCCGUCCGUGCCCCUGCAAUACCCCUAGAAUCCCCUGCCCUCCAUGCCUCAGCUCUGCCAGGGCCUCACCUGGAACACGUGGAAGCCCACGGUGAGGCUCCAGCAGGGUCAGCCGGAAUUGAGGAUUAGUCCAGAAGGUUUCUAACAGAGGAGAGAAAAAAGGGGUUUCCGCCUGGUGCAAGCCCCCGCCCCAGCUUGCCUCUCAGGGUCUCCGCUUGGGCCUCACCGGCACUCGGCUGGCUCCCUCCAGAGUUGAAACCUCGUACCCAGCGACCUUGGAAGGUGUGGAUGUGCCAGCCACCCCCAGCCGGGUUGGGGCCCAGCACCUCUGGGCUCAGGGAGCAGAUCUGGACAGUGUUGAAGUGGCGGAGGAAGUCCUGCAGUUCCAUCCUGCACGCGGCAGCAGUCAGAGCCACCCAGGCCACCCCCAGAGUCCCAACCCCAAACAGCUCAAGACCUCGGAGCGACUCCCCCAAUCACAAAGCCCUGCAAUUCCUUACAUACUGCCAGGCCCCGGUCCACUCCACACGGCCCCACGGGUUCCGCAGUCGCAGCAGCCUCACUUUGGUGAAGCCCAGGGACAUCUAAGGACAGCAGCAUCGGUAGGGUGGCACCUGGACACCCCCUGCCAGUCUACCCGUGGGGGCUGCUCACCUUGUGUGUGCCAGUGACUGAAUAUGCAUGUCCCCUCACCAACCCGUCCUCUGUCCAGUACUCGCCCCGAUCACUCUGGGAAGGGGACCAGAGACAAUGAGUCUGGGGUGGGGGAGGGCAACUGCUGUCCCCAUGCUCCCAACCUCCUGCCACCCAAAGCCCAGCAUUGAAUGGCAUGGGGCUCAGAGAGGGCGCUGGAGUUGGAGAGUACAGGACACAGGACGGGGAGAGGGAGAGGGAGGGAGAAGAACCAGACAAGGCCAGAGGGAAAGAGGCUCCUGAGGCUGGGGAGACUCAGAACCGAGAGACCAGGAGGGGAGACACCGAGACAGAGGAGCAGGCGCCAAGCAGAGGCUUAACUACGUGGCUGAGUGAGUGCGUCCGAGAACCCAGGAAUGACUGAGCGCAUGGCGGGGUCUCGGUUGCACACACGAUGACCCAGGCUAAGCCCAUGAGAAUCAAUCCUGGGGCUUCUGCUGAAGUUCUCACAACUAGUCUUUUUUUCUUUGCCACUGAAGAUGGAAUACAGGGCUGCUCUACCACUGAGCCACAACCCCAGCCCUCUUUAUUAUUAUUUUUUGACCUUUUGGGUGGCAUGGGCUACCUGUAGCUAUGGGGACCCCUUUGUACCCCAAUGACUAAAAAGCCUACCUGAGAGUGAGACUAACUCUGUUCCAGGAUAGAAAAACACGUUUGCAACCUCCUCUGAGCACCUAGAUCCAGCUGUUCCUGAAGCUUUUAGUUGGAAGAGCAAAUAACAUUUCCAUCUAACCUUCUCCAGUUUGAUGUGUGAGAGAGAAUAAGACAGCAGCAGGAGCUGAGAGGACAAGGACAGGAAGCUCCCCUCCCGCCGCACCCCCGACUCAGCUCUGGUCCUGACAGGGGUCUGUGCGGGGGUCCAGCUCUCACCAGGGCAGUGGCACCCACAAGGGACUCCUUGACCAGGGCGUGGCGAAGGACAGAGAAGAGGCCUGGAGUGUCCUGCCUCAGCGCCCCAUAAAAAUGAAUGAAUGGAACAAAGGCACUGUGUCCACCGGCUCCUAAAACUACGUGUUUGAGAAAAAACAAAAGAGCUACUGGGUGAAGGAUGGGCUCCGGGAUGCUUCCCCUACACGUCCGCAGGGCACGUCGCGACAGCAGGGUUCUGGGGUUGUGACUUGGCGUGGGAUCCUUGGUGGCAUGCCUAGGGGACUCCGGAGGUUGGGGUCUCGGGAUCCCUGUAACUUGGGGGCCCACGUGGGGUCUGGGGGUCCUCACUUGGCGUAGGCCU